GAGGUUGCGAAGAAAAAGUGUUUGUAUUUUGUGCUUUAUCGCGAAAACCGUGUGAUUUGGACAUCUUCUGGUGCCUUGGCGCGUGUGUGGGAUGCCUGGCGCGUGAGCUGACGGGCGUGGGAGUUGCUCCGAGGGAGGAUGGCGAAAAUACUCGAGGAUGAAGACUGAAAGAGACGCAGAAGUGGUGACAGUGAAGCCAAGAUCUUUGUCUCCAGCGUCUCCCAGCGUUGGUUCAUCCUGCUCCUUGUGGUCCUGUUUGCCUCUCCCCGUGCCGCCAUCACCACCUUUUAGAGGACUUCCGCUGGCGUGCGUCGCCUCGCCUAACAUACAUUGGCGGGGGUCAGGAUGCCUCCGACCUUUCAUGUGAAAGACGCAGUGAAGAGAGAAAAGAGAUUUCUCCAUAGACUACAAUAGUGAGAAAAAUCUGGUGUUCCGACUAAAUAAUAUCAAAUUGUUAUGGAUGAAUUGUUUUAUUUAAUUUUAAUCGGGUUACAAUGUAAAAAAAACCCCUGAUAUUAUUACCAAUUUUUAUUGCUUAUAAAACUAGGGCAAUGUUAGUGUUGAUGGUAUUUGAGUCAUUUUGUGAUUAAAUAAGUCUUUUGUGAUUAUUGUUCAAGUACUUUUUUAUGGACACAUUUCUUGGCUGACUGAGAGAUCAUAAUUUUUUGAACAUGUAUAGUGACUGUUCAAUUUAUUAUCACAUUUCAUUUAACCAAAACUUUCCUGGAAACAAAUACUUUUAAAACGUGGGUCACGAGGCGUUUAUGAAAGCAAUAAAUAGGAGAGCUGGAAAAACGUCCCGCCGUCGUGGAA